rnacentral:snRNA from 1 species
GGUUGUGAGGGCGAUCUGGCUGUGACAUCUGUCACCCCAGUGAUCGCCAGGGUUGAUUCGGCUGAUCUGGCUGGCUAGGCGGGUGUCCCCUUCCUCCCUCUCCGCUCCGUGUGCGUCCCUCCCAGAGCCAUGCGCUUGGUGGAAGAGGCCGGCCUUCCCCGAACAGAGAUGGACCUGCCCUCUGUGGAGGGCAUCCGAGUAUCCCCUGCUAGGCCCUCCAGACAAGCUCUCAAGGUCCAUUUGUAGAACGUAGGGUAGUUGAGCUUCCAAGACUGCAGACACAUCCGAAUGAGGUGCUGCAAGUGGCAGUCAGCCUUAAAAA